GACGAACGCUGGCGGCGCGCUUAACACAUGCAAGUCGAGCGAAGCGGCGGACGGGUGAGUAACACGUGAGUAACCUGCCUUAGACAUUGGGAUAGCCUCGGGAAACCGGGAUUAAUACCAAAUGGUCUAAGAUGGACUAGCGUCCCAUUAGCGAGGUGGUGAGGUAACGGCCCACCAAGGCGACGAUGGGUAGCCGGCCUGAGAGGAUGAUCAGCCACAAUGGGACUGAGACACGGCCCAGACUCUACGGGAGGCAGCAGUGGGGGAUAUUGCACAAUGGGCGAAAGCCUGAUGCAGCGACGCCGCGUGGAGGAUGAAGGCUUUCGGGUUGUAAACCUCUUUCGCUAUCGAACGGGUAGGUGGAGAAGAAGCGCCGGCUAACUACGUGCCAGCAGCCGCGGUAAUAC
rnacentral:rRNA from 1 species